GGCAUCUACAGUGCUGGAAAUUUCUUUUCUUAAGCCACACUUUCCCCGGCUGAAAUCACGCAACACAUUUAGGGAAACCCCUCGCGGGAUUGGCCGUAAGUGAAUCAGACAAGCACCAGGCUCGCUGCUGAUUGGCUCUUCCGGAUCAGACGUUAACCCGGGUGACGUAAUCAACGAACUUUGCUGGAGAUGGAUGGCAGAUGGUGCAAGAGUGUUUAAGGGCCAAUGGGAAGCCUCGCCACCUCCUCGGCAGAUUUCUGAUCUGGUACAGGGGUUGAGGAGGGUCUGGAGUCUGUCCCAGGGAGCACAGGAUGCCUGGUCCAGAACAAGACCAUGAGGAUUCACCAGUACCGAUUUUUCCACGGACAAAGCAACAUGCGAGUGUGAAUCAGAGGUUAAGGCCAUUGUUCAAGGGCUGGGUGGUGAUACAUUUACUCUCUUGGCCAAGGGAUGUGAAACCACAACCUUCUACACUGAGUACAGAUCCAUAAGCCUCCGACACAGAUUAAUAAAUCAUCACAAAGCCUUGACGGCGGCCAACGUAAGGAGGUUGGAGGCCAGCAGCCGGCAUGCCGGUGGACUCCUCCUUACCGAUGGCACUGAAAGCGACGAACUUGUUCUCCCUGGGGUUGAUGUG